rfam:Candidatus Blackburnbacteria bacterium RIFCSPHIGHO2_02_FTLL_44_20 rifcsphigho2_02_scaffold_4717, whole genome shotgun sequence.
GGGCCGGUGGCUCAGUGGUAGAGCGCCAAACUGAUAAUUUGGAGGUCCCAGGUUCGAUCCCUGGUCGGCCCA